ensembl:snoRNA
AAGACUAUACUUUCAGGGAUCAUUUCUAUAGUCCGUUACUAGAGAAGUUUCUCUGAACGUGUAGAGUACCGGAAACCACGAGGAGGAGGCGCAGUGUUCUCUCCUGAGCGUGAAGCCGGCUCUUGGUGUUGCUUCGCUGCAACCGCCACUUGCCAUUGAUGAUCGUUCUUCUCUCCCUUUAUGGGGGAGUGAGAGGGAGAGGACGCAGUCUGAGUGGUU